CCUCUCUCUCUCAUUUGGCCUCAUCUCUAUUCUCUUCAUAAACACAAACGAAAUUGAAGAUCCAUCGAAAAAAUCAAUCAAUAACAUCAGCUCUUCUCUAUUCUCCUCAUCAACACCAGCUGAAAACGAAGAUUCAUCAGCUCUUCUCGAUGCUCAUCAUUAACAAAAUCCAUCAGCAGAUCAGUUCUUGAGGAUUUGUUGUGAAUCGAUGAAGAACAUUCAAUGAGGAGCACCAACAAUAUUCGAGAGUAAUUGUGUGUUGUCUAAAGCAAUUAGUAAUUGUACCGAAACUCAAGAUUAUACCUCUUCGUUUGUAUGUUGUUGUUGUUAAUUCCAGAAAUUUGUAUGAAUGGGUGUGUAUACUUAGCUCAGCAAUGGAUUUACUUAUAAUAGUAUAGAAGUUGAUUAAUCUAAACACCAAACCCGCAGUUUGAGUGUUUUUGUCAUUGAAUGGGACACACCAACAGAUUUGAAUAACAAGUUCCACUUCCGGGCCUACCAAAAACAAAAAAUCUUCAUAUAUUUUAAGCUAUGAGGUGGUUCAAUACAUGCUAGGAUUUAUUUUAUCAUAAGAUUGAGUAUCGAUCAUACCCCUAUUACACUUGAGAUAACACUAUUAUCUGCUCAUACAGCUGAUGGAAUCAUUGCUUGGCGAGGUUAGGGAGGAGUUCGAACAUCGCUUGGCGACCCAUAAUGAACCGAUAAGCUUCUCUUUGCUUUUUUAGUAAUAAAGAAACAAGAGAUUUCUAGUAAUAAAGAAACAUAAGUAUUGUAGAUUGUUUGGCAGGUGGUGGUGGUAGAUACCACGGAGGAGGAGAUCAGGGAGGGUGUCUUGGUGAUGGAUAUCAAGGUGGGGGAGAUCAAAAAGAAACAAGAGAUUUCUUAGUAACAAAGUAACAUGUUUUGCAUGUGGUGGUGGUGGAUACCAAGGAGGAGGAGAUUGGGAAGGGUGUCUUGGUGGGGGAGAACCGGGAGAUGAUGGAGGUAGUGGUAGCGGAAGAGAUGGUGAUUGGAUGUGCCCUAAUUCAAGUAUCUUGGAAGAUGGAAGAUGUUUGCGGAUAUACCUGCCAUUUGAUCAGGAUCCAUUGAUAGUUUGUUUCUAAAUCAUCCUGAUUUUGUGCAUUGAACGGAUGACAUCUGCUGAAUCAUCUAGAACGACACUUGUGUCUCAUUUAAAAGAGGCUCUCCAGUGGCAGGAGUUUGAGCUGGAACAAGUACGCAUUCUGCUUCAGUUGUGUUUUUCUAGGAGUUUGGAGAAGGAGCAUACUUGGAAGUGUACAAGGAACUUAAAGCAUGGCAACUUGAAGGCUGCAAGUGUGGGGAGUGAUGCUUAGAUGUCUUGGAGGGUAAAGUGCGAUAAUGUGCAACUGAGCAAAAAUGGGAGGCUUCUUUGUUCAAUGUGCACUUCAUAGCUGCAGAGGACAAUGACGAAGAUGCUGAUGCACAAGAGGGUGGGGGAAUUUUACCUAGUGCAGAACCAUACUUUGCUGAGAUUCAGAAGAAGCAAAAACUGAUCAAAGAUUUGCAAGAUGCGGGGUACUCCCCCAGCAAACACAGAUGCAUUGAUUGAAGCAUUUGGAAAGGAUUCUGCGCAUGCUAAAGUUUAUGAGUUUAGAAACUGAACUUCAUUAGGUAUAUUGAUUGUAUGUUAUUGGCCUGAAUAAAUUGUUCAAGUGGAAGACUUUGUUGUUUAGUGCGCAUUCAAUGUGUCUCUCAGUAGCCUGGAUUUGGCCUGAAAACAUUACAGGAAACUCUUGACUGAGUCAAUGACUAGUUGACUUGACGUUUUUUUCAUGUUGCGCCACAGCCAAAACCGUUGCAAAGCCAGGGAAAAAGAACCUUGGGUGAACCAGAAAACGUUGCGAAAUAAAUUCGCAACGGCUCCCGAGCUGUUGCAAAUAAUAUGCAACGCCACAUUUCGCAACGGAUUUCUGCUGUUGCAAGUAAUUUUUGCAACUGCAUUGCUAUUUUGGAAAUAUGGUGUAGUGAUAGCAUAUACAAAAGGGGUUAGCAAUAGGCAAAGUUCUAUGUUAUUUAUGUCGAAUAUUUGGUUGAAAUGUGCAUUAAUUUGAUCUGUAUGUAGUUCCCUGUCAUCUAAUUUCUCUUGUAUGUGAAUCUAUUUUACCAA